CCUACGGGGGGCUGCAGUCGAGGAUAUUUAGCAAUGCCCGAAAGGGUGACUAUGCGACGCCGCGUGUGCGAUGAAGGUCUUCGGAUUGUAAAGCACUGUCAACCGGGAGGAAUCUCAGGUUUACUAAUAGUAGAUCUGGGUGACAGUACCGGUGGAGGAAGCCACGGCUAACUCCGUGCCAGCAGCCGCGGUAAUACGGAGGUGGCAGGCGUUACUCGGAUUGAUUGGGUGUAAAGGGAGCGUAGGUGGUGAGUUAAGUCGAAUGUGAAAUACUCUGGCUCAACCAGAGAACUGCAUUCGAUACUGACUUGCUUGAGUGUUGGAGAGGAAGAUGGAAUUCCCGGUGUAACAGUGAAAUGUGUAGAUAUCGGGAGGAACACCAGUGGCGAAGGCGAUCUUCUGGCCAACUACUGACACUGAGGCUCGAGAGCGUGGGGAGCAAACAGGAUUAGAUACCCCUGUAGUC
rnacentral:rRNA from 1 species